rnacentral:rRNA from 1 species
UACGUAGGGCGCAAGCGUUGUCCGGAAUUAUUGGGCGUAAAGAGCGUGUAGGCGGCCAUGUAGGUCCGGUGUGAAAACUCGAGGCUUAACCUCGAGAUGUCAUCGGAAACCAUUUGGCUAGAGUACGGAAGAGGCAAGUGGAAUUCCUGGUGUAGCGGUGGAAUGCGCAGAUAUCAGGAGGAACACCUAUAGCGAAGGCAGCUUGCUGGGACGUUACUGACGCUAAGGCGCGAAAGCGUGGGGAGCGAACAGG